rnacentral:rRNA from 1 species
UGCUUGGGAAUUUGCCUUGAGGUGGGGAGUAACAGUUGGAACGACUGCUAAUACCGCAUAAUAGCUACGGCUCAAAGGGGACGGCUCGCGCUCUCGCCUUUAGAGAAGCCCAAGUGAGAUUAGCUAGUUGGUGGGGUAAAGGCUCACCAAGGCGACGAUCUCUAGCUGGUUUGAGAGGAUGAUCAGCCACACUGGAACUGAGACACGGUCCAGACUCCUACGGGAGGCAGCAGUGGGGAAUAUUGCACAAUGGGGGAAACCCGUGAUGCAGCCAUGCCGCGUGUGUGAAGAAGGCCUCGG